GACGAACGCUGGCGGCGUGCUUAACACAUGCAAGUCGAACGAAGUGGCGCACGGGUGAGUAACGCGUAAUCAACCUGCCCUUCAGAGGGGGACAACAGUUGGAAACGACUGCUAAUACCGCAUACUGAAGGACGGGGUUGCGUCUGAUUAGCUAGUUGGAGGGGGAACGGCCCAACAAGGCGAUGAUAAGUAGCCGGGCUGGGAGGAUGAACGGCCACAUUGGGACUGAGACACGGCCCAGACUCCUACGGGAGGCAGCAGUGGGGAAUCUUCCGCAAUGGACGAAAGUCUGACGGAGCAACGCCGCGUGAGUGAUGACGGCCUUCGGGUUGUAAAGCUCUGUUAAUCGGGACGCGGUACCGGAAUAGAAAGCCACGGCUAACUACGUGCCAGCAGCCGCGGUAAUAC
rnacentral:rRNA from 1 species